rnacentral:rRNA from 1 species
CACGUAGGGCGCAAGCGUUGUCCGGAAUUAUUGGGCGUAAAGAGCUCGUAGGCGGUUUGUCGCGUCUGCUGUGAAAAUCCAGGGCUUAACCCUGGACCUGCAGUGGGUACGGGCAGACUAGAGUGCGGUAGGGGAGAUCGGAAUUCCCGGUGUAGCGGUGAAAUGCGCAGAUAUCGGGAAGAACACCGGUGGCGAAGGCGGCUCUCUGGGCCUGUCCUGACGCUCAGGCGCGAAAGCUAGGGGAGCGAACAGG